rnacentral:rRNA from 1 species
GCCUUACACAUGCAAGUCGAACGGCAGCGGGGGAAAGCUUGCUUUCCUGCCGGCGAGUGGCGAACGGGUGAGUAAUACAUCGGAACGUGCCCUGUAGUGGGGGAUAACUAGUCGAAAGAUUAGCUAAUACCGCAUACGACCUGAGGGUGAAAGUGGGGGACCGCAAGGCCUCAUGCUAUAGGAGCGGCCGAUGUCUGAUUAGCUAGUUGGUGGGGUAAAGGCCUACCAAGGCGACGAUCAGUAGCUGGUCUGAGAGGACGAUCAGCCACACUGGGACUGAGACACGGCCCAGACUCCUACGGGAGGCAGCAGUGGGGAAUUUUGGACAAUGGGCGAAAGCCUGAUCCAGCAAUGCCGCGUGUGUGAAGAAGGCCUUCGGGUUGUAAAGCACUUUUGUCCGGAAAGAAAUGGCUCUGGUUAAUACCCGGAGUUGAUGACGGUACCGGAAGAAUAAGGACCGGCUAACUACGUGCCAGCAGCCGCGGUAAUACGUAGGGUCCAAGCGUUAAUCGGAAUUACUGGGCGUAAAGCGUGCGCAGGCGGUUGUGCAAGACCGAUGUGAAAUCCCCGGGCUUAACCUGGGAAUUGCAUUGGUGACUGCACGGCUAGAGUGUGUCAGAGGGAGGUAGAAUUCCACGUGUAGCAGUGAAAUGCGUAGAGAUGUGGAGGAAUACCGAUGGCGAAGGCAGCCUCCUGGGAUAACACUGACGCUCAUGCACGAAAGCGUGGGGAGCAAACAGGAUUAGAUACCCUGGUAGUCCACGCCCUAAACGAUGUCAACUAGUUGUUGGGGAUUCAUUUCCUUAGUAACGUAGCUAACGCGUGAAGU